UGACGGUACCUGACUAAGAAGCACCGGCUAAAUACGUGCCAGCAGCCGCGGUAAUACGUAUGGUGCAAGCGUUAUCCGGAUUUACUGGGUGUAAAGGGAGCGUAGACGGCAUAGCAAGCCAGAUGUGAAAGGUGGGGGCUCAACCCCCAAGCUGCAUUUGGAACUGUUAAGCUAGAGUAUCGGAGAGGUAAGUGGAAUUCCUAGUGUAGCGGUGAAAUGCGUAGAUAUUAGGAGGAACACCAGUGGCGAAGGCGGCUUACUGGACGAUAACUGACGUUGAGGCUCGAAAGCGUGGGGAGCAAACAGGAUUAGAUACCCUG
rnacentral:rRNA from 1 species